CACACACACACACACACACACUGAGGGGGGCGGAUCGGGCAGACCCCAGGAUCACGACUGCAGUCGGAGGAACGGCAGGGACCCGGUAAGUUUAGGACCGCUUAAAAAAGGACGGCAUAGAAAGCCCGCCGUUCUUAAGGGGUUAAAAGAUCACAAACAUGUAUUCCUCACAUCAGCUAAAAUAACUGUUUAGGUCACCAACCCUUUUUCUAAUGACUAUGCAGUCCAUUUAAAUAAAUGUAUACUAGCAUAAACAUUAUCUAGGCAUAGGUGAUAUUCUUUAUUUAUUUAUGGUAGUAGGAGUUCCCAUACAAUUUUUCCAAUUGUCCCCACAGAAUCAAAGCAGCUUUGUGGAUCUAGUUGACUUUCUGCAUAAAUACCCAGUAUUGCAUUUGCACAGCUACAAUUUUGUACCAAAAGUCAGCUUAGAUGGGACGUACUGCUUGAAAAGCAGUCUUCUCCUGAAUCUUAAAUUUGACUCAUCUAUGCAGAUAUUUUUGCCAGAGGUAUUGUGGCGAAAG